rnacentral:tRNA from 1 species
AGGAAAUUAGUUAAUAAUAACAUUUGAUUUGCAUUCAAAAAGUAUUGAAUACAAUAUUUCUUA